GGACCACUUUUAAAGUACUUAUUGAAUUUGUUACCAUAUUGCUUCUGUUUUAUGUUUUUAGGGCACAAGGCAUAUGGGAUCUUAACUGCCCAGCCAGGGACUGAACCCUCAUCUCUUGCUCUGGAAGACAAAGUCCUAAUCACUGUUCCGCCAGGGAAGUCCCUACUACUUCGUUUGCAUAAAAGCAGAAAUACUAUAGCUUCUUCUGGAAGCCAAGGAGGAGCCGGAAAAUUACCUCCAAUCACGAUUCGGAAGCACAACCUCAGGCCUGAAGGCCAGAUGCGGGAUCUCCAGAGGCCAGCGCUGACCCCAGGAUGGCAGGAAAUAUUCGUACUUCAAUUUUUAUCCUGCCCACAUCAAAACAGCAACAAUGAACACAUUGAAGUUAACUGUCACCAUAUCAGCAUGGAAUCAUUUAUCAUGUUAACGAUUGCCUUGGUCAGUUCACCCUCAUGACUUCCCAAGACAGAAUUGAGCUGGAUGAAUAGCCCCCCAACAUCUGGCAGCCCUUGAUGCUCCAGUUUGGGGGAUCAAUUCACUCUAACUUGAUCAGCAUCGUGGCCAAUACGGCCCCACCCGGUGAGAGAUACUUC
ensembl:lncRNA